rnacentral:rRNA from 1 species
AUGUCCAGCAUUAUUGUUCCUGUGUGCAUCAACGCGCCCGAGCUAUCCACAAUUCUCGAGAACAAUGCAGGACUUGAGUAUCUUACCAAGACAAGAAAAGUGUGUGUCAGAAGGCUGCUUAGUGCUAAUGCUCAUGGGUACCCUAUACCACCACCGGUGCUUGAAUACACGAAGCGAUAUCACAAGGCAUAUUUCACAGACGAGGCACAAGCGCAGUUAAAGGCGGCUGAUCCGUAUGUACCUGGCAGCACACCAACAAACGAAAACAAUGAUCAAAGCCAUGACAACGGUGAGCCAAGAAAAAAUUGUAAAGGCUUGACAGAGAAUCCUACCCUCCGACAUCAAGUACAAACUUAUGGUGCUUCAAGUUCGGUCCAGCAAAGGAUUGCUAAAAGGCCCAAGUUGGACAUCGAAGAAAUUUACAGGACAAGGCACCCUGAAUUAUAUCAAGGAUUUAUAACUGAUGCUGGUAUUAGGGUCACAGAAGAUUCACCUAUCCCUGAGGAGUGCCAGACUGAGGAAUUCCUAGAGGCAAUGGAGAUUUUGGAAGAAAUAAAUGGCGCCCCAUGUUAUGAUGCUGAGAGCCUGGCUCUAGGUUCAUUGAAGAAAGCAGAGUACUUCCUAAUGCCAGACACUAUACAAUUUGAGCCAUGUGCAGUUGAUAGCAUUUGCCGAGGGUCUGCAUUUUGGAAACCUGAUCGGAAGCUACUUUCUCAGGUGUACGCCCUGGCUAAAGUGCAGGCGCUUCAGCUUGGCAAAUUAAGUGGGCGGUUCUACGAGCUCAGGCAUUUUCUGCUGGCUGGUACCAUGGACAUAAAUAUUCAAGGCUUUGUUCGCCUCCGAAGAACUCAGCUGAGAUUUAUGAUAAGAAAAUAG